GACAGAGGUGCCGAGCGUUAGGCGGAAUCACUGGGCUUAAAGCGCACGUAGGCGGACUCUUAAGUCAGGGGUGAAAUCCUGGAGCUCAACUCCAGAACUGCCUUUGAUACUGGGAGCCUUGAGUUCGGGAGAGGUGAGUGGAACUGCGAGUGUAGAGGUGAAAUUCGUAGAUAUUCGCAAGAACACCAGUGGCGAAGGCGGCUCACUGGCCCGAUACUGACGCUGAGGCACGAAAGCGUGGGGAGCAAACAGG
rnacentral:rRNA from 1 species